AGCUCAAUUUCAAUUUGCCCACAGCAGGGCUGGGAGUCACAAGAUCCUGCCCUGGAGCUGAAAUGGGCACCAGGCUCUUCUUCUAUGUGGCGCUUUGUCUGCUGUGGGCAGGACACAGGGAUGCCGGAAUCACCCAGAGCCCGAGAUACAAGGUCACAGAGACAGGAAGGCAGGUGACCUUGACGUGUCACCAGACUUGGAGCCACAGCUAUAUGUUCUGGUACCGACAAGAUCUGGGACAUGGGCUGAGGCUGAUCCAUUACUCAGCAGGUGCUGGUAUCACAGAUAAAGGAGAAGUCCCCGAUGGCUAUGUUGUCUCCAGAUCAAAGACAGAGGAUUUCCUCCUCACUCUGGAGUCAGCUACCCGCUCCCAAACAUCUGUGUAUUUCUGUGCCAGCAGUGAGUCCACAGUGCUGCACAGCUGCCUCCUCUCUGCUCAUAAAGGGCAGUUAGAAAAACUGAGGUUGCCUGUGCGCCCGAGUCUGGGCCCCACGGUGGGAAGUCCGGGCCUCCAUAGGAGUCCCAGAGCACUGCCCAGUCUGGGGGUGUCUUAG